rnacentral:rRNA from 1 species
UACAGAGGGUGCGAGCGUUAAUCGGAAUUACUGGGCGUAAAGCGCGCGCAGGCGGCCCGCUAGGUGUCACGUGAAAGCCCCGGGCUCAACCCGGGAGGGUCGUGGCAAACCGGCGGGCUUGAGGCCGGUAGAGGUGGGUGGAACUCCUGGUGGAGUGGUGAAAUGCGUAGAUAUUGGGAAGAACACCGGUGGCGAAGGCGGCUCUCUGGACCGAGACUGACGCUGAGGCGCGAAAGCGAGGGGAGCAAACAGG